rfam:Aspergillus zonatus CBS 506.65 unplaced genomic scaffold ASPZOscaffold_140, whole genome shotgun sequence.
GGGGUAUUAGUUUAACUGGUAGAGCAUUGACUUUGCAAGUCAAUAGUCGGGAUUCGAGUUCCCGAUAUUCCA